UACGGAGGGUGCGAGCGUUAAUCGGAAUUACUGGGCGUAAAGCGCGCGUAGGCGGCCCGGUCAGUCUGGCGUGAAAUCCCCGGGCUCAACCUGGGAACUGCGCUGGAUACUGCCGGGCUGGAGUGUGGUAGAGGGCGGUGGAAUUUCCGGUGUAGCAGUGAAAUGCGUAGAGAUCGGAAGGAACACCAGUGGCGAAGGCGGCCGCCUGGGCCAACACUGACGCUGAGGCGCGAAAGCGUGGGGAG
rnacentral:rRNA from 1 species